GGCAUGGUGUGUACUGGAUUUGAAGUCCAAGGAUCUGGGUUCAAAUCCUGGCUAUGCCA
rnacentral:tRNA from 1 species